GUUGUGAAUGAACGGACGAAGCUUCUAGUUCAGGCAGCAUAGCUGAUAGCUGUGGUUCAGGUAUAGAUCAUGUUGGUCCAUAAGAGAGUUGUUCAUCUGAAUGAGGAACCUCGCAUCCGGUAUGCUCCGAUGUUAAUCCGGGAUCAAGAGAGGAUAACAAAUCUGAACUACAUCUGCAACUGCAACGGCACAGAGGCUCUGUGGAUGCUUCGAAUGAAAAGAGCACCUUGCGCCAGGCUUAUGCAGACGUUCGGGAGCAGGGGGCUGCUACAAGAUAGCAUCCACACCACGUUGGAAGAGCAAGUGGCCAUGUUCCUCCAUGUUGUUGGUCAUAACCAGAGGUUCAGGGUUGUACACAACACCUUUAGGAGAUCAAUGGAGACCAUCUCCAUGUACUUCAAGCAAGUGUUGUAUGCUCUUGGGGAGCUCAAAGGAGAGAUGAUCAGGUCACCAACCAGCCGGACUCAUAUCAAGAUUCGCACUAGCCCAAGAUGGUAUCCAUACUUUAAGGUGAGCACCUACAAUAUGUAG
rnacentral:rRNA from 1 species